rnacentral:rRNA from 1 species
GACGAACGCUGGCGGCGUGCCUAAUACAUGCAAGUCGAGCGAAUCUUUUGGGAGCUUGCUCCCGAAAGAUUAGCGGCGGACGGGUGAGUAACACGUGGGCAACCUGCCUAUAAGACUGGGAUAACUUCGGCACACCGGAGCUAAUACCGGAUACGUUCUUUUCUCGCAUGAGAGAAGAUGGAAAGACGGUCUCGGCUGCCACUUAUAGAUGGGCCUGCGGCGCAUUAGCUAGUUGGUGGGGUAAUGGCUCACCAAGGCGACGAUGCGUAGCCUACCUGGGAGGGUGAUCGGCCACACUGGGACUGAGACACGGCCCAGACUCCUACGGGAGGCAGCAGUAGGGAAUCUUCCGCAAUGGACGAAAGUCUGACGGAGCAACGCCGCGUGAACGAAGAAGGCCUUCGGGUCGUAAAGUUCUGUUGUUAGGGAAGAACAAGUACCAGAGUAACUGCUGGUACCUUGAUGGUACCUAACCAGAAAGCCACGGCUAACUACGUGCCAGCAGCCGCCGUAAAAC